UAUUGAACAACGCAAAAAACCAACGUUCCUGCAAAAAGCGUUCCUACGAGGUUACCUUUACGUGAUCCCAUGAUGUACGGAAAUCGUCUAUUGGAAUGGAGAUCAAUGAAAUGAUAGCCGAUCUUGGGUGCAGUGUCAGUCUUCCCUUCCAAGGAACUUGACUGAGAGUGCAAUGAUUGGCCGCACAA
rnacentral:sRNA from 1 species